GUAGGGAAUAUUGGGCAAUGGUCGGAAGACUGACCCAGCCAUGCCGCGUGCAGGAAGACGGCCCUCUGGGUUGUAAACUGCUUUUAUCUGGGAAGAAAAAGGCCAUGCGUGGCAAAUUGCCGGUACCAGAUGAAUAAGCACCGGCUAACUCCGUGCCAGCAGCCGCGGUAAUACGGAGGGGGCGAGCGUUGUCCGGAUUUAUUGGGUUUAAAGGGUGCGUAGGCGGCUGAUUAAGUCAGCGGUGAAAGACUUCGGCUUAACCGGGGCAGUGCCGUUGAUACUGGUUGGCUUGAGUGUCGGAGGGGUACAUGGAAUUGCUGGUGUAGCGGUGAAAUGCAUAGAUACCAUCAGGAACACCGAUAGCGAAGGCAUUGUACUGGCCGACAACUGACGCUGAUGCACGAAAGUGUGGGGAUCGAACAGGAUUAGAAACCCCUGUAGUCC
rnacentral:rRNA from 1 species